rnacentral:rRNA from 1 species
AACGAACGCUGGCGGCAUGCCUAACACAUGCAAGUCGAACGAGACCUUCGGGUCUAGUGGCGCACGGGUGCGUAACGCGUGGGAACCUGCCCUUAGGUUCGGAAUAACUCCCCGAAAUGGGUGCUAAUACCGGAUAAUGUCUUCGGACCAAAGAUUUAUCGCCUUUGGAUGGGCCCGCGUUGGAUUAGCUAGUUGGUAGGGUAAAAGCCUACCAAGGCGACGAUCCAUAGCUGGUCUGAGAGGAUGAUCAGCCACACUGGGACUGAGACACGGCCCAGACUACUACGGGAAGCAGCAGUGGGGAAUAUUGGACAAUGGGCGAAAGCCUGAUCCAGCAAUGCCGCGUGAGUGAUGAAGGCCUUAGGGUUGUAAAGCUCUUUUACCCGGGAUGAUAAUGACAGUACCGGGAGAAUAAGCUCCGGCUAACUCCGUG